CCUACGAGAGGCAGCAGUGGGGAAUAUUGCACAAUGGGGGAAACCCUGAUGCAGCGACGCCGCGUGAGUGAAGAAGUAUUUCGGUAUGUAAAGCUCUAUCAGCAGGGCAGAAGCAAGACGGUACCUGACUAAGAAGCCCCGGCUAACUACGUGCCAGCAGCCGCGGUACUACGUAGGGGGCAAGCGUUAUCCGGAUUUACUGGGUGUAAAGGGAGCGUAGACGGUAUGGCAAGUCUGAAGUGAAAGCCCAGGGCUUAACCCUGGGACUGCUUUGGAAACUGUUAGACUAGAGUGCUGGAGAGGUAAGUGGAAUUCCUAGUGUAGCGGUGAAAUGCGUAGAUAUUAGGAGGAACACCAGUGGCGAAGGCGGCUUACUGGACAGUAACUGACGUUGAGGCUCGAAAGCGUGGGGAGCAAACAGGAUUAGAUACCCGUGUAGUC
rnacentral:rRNA from 1 species